GGCUCAGGACGAACGCUGGCGGCGUGCCUAAUACAUGCAAGUCGAGCGGAGAAAUGGGAGCUUGCUCCCAUUUCUCAGCGGCGGACGGGUGAGUAACACGUGGGCAACCUGCCCUACAGACUGGGAUAACUCCGGGAAACCGGAGCUAAUACCGGGUAAUACAUAGCAUCGCAUGAUGCAACGUUGAAAGUUGGCUUUCGAGCUAACACUGUAGGAUGGGCCCGCGGCGCAUUAGCUAGUUGGUAAGGUAACGGCUUACCAAGGCCACGAUGCGUAGCCGACCUGAGAGGGUGAUCGGCCACACUGGGACUGAGACACGGCCCAGACUCCUACGGGAGGCAGCAGUAGGGAAUCUUCCGCAAU
rnacentral:rRNA from 1 species